rnacentral:rRNA from 1 species
UUUAAUGAGAGUUUGAUCCUGGCUCAGGAUGAACGCUGGCUGUAUGCCUAAUACAUGCAUGUCGAGCGAGGUCACUUGUGACCUAGCGGCGAAUGGGUGAGUAACACGUACUUAACCUACCUCUUUGUUUGGGACAACAGUUGGAAACGACUGCUAAUACCGGAUACGAGAAAAAAACAUAAGUUUAUUUCUUAAAAGGCGCGUUUGCGUCGCAAGGAGAUGGGGGUGCGGUUUAUUAGCUAGUUGGUAGUGUAAUGGACUACCAAGGCAAUGAUGAAUAGCGGAGUUGAGAAGCUGAACCGCCACACUGGGACUGAGAUACGGCCCAGACUCCUACGGGAGGCAGCAGUAGGGAAUCUUCCACAAUGAACGAAAGUUUGAUGGAGCGAUACAGCGUGAGGGAUGAAGGUCUUCGGAUUGUAAACCUCUGUUAUAAGGGAAGAAAACCCGAUAUAGGAAAUGAUAUCGGCUUGACGGUACCUUAUCAGAAAGCACCGGCAAACUAUGUGCCAGCAGUCGCGGUAAUACAUAGGGUGCAAGCGUUAUCCGGAUUUAUUGGGCGUAAAGCGUCCGCAGGCGGUUUGUUAAGUCUGAAGUUAAAGCCUGGGGCUCAACCCCAGCCCGCUUUGGAUACUGGCAAACUAGGGUCAUAGAGAGGUUAGUGGAACUCCUAGUGAAGCGGUGGAAUGCGUAGAUAUUAGGAAGAACACCAAUAGCGAAGGCAGCUAACUGGCUAUGUACCGACGCUCAUGGACGAAAGCGUGGGGAGCAAACAGGAUUAGAUACCCUGGUAGUCCACGCCGUAAACGAUGAUCGUUAGCCGCUGGAAUAAUUCAGUGGCGCAGCUAACGCGUUAAACGAUCCGCCUGAGGAGUAUGCUCGCAAGAGUGAAACUUAAAGGAAUUGACGGGGACCCGCACAAGCGGUGGAGCAUGUGGUUUAAUUUGAAGAUACGCGGAGAACCUUACCCACUCUUGACAUCUUCCGCAAAGGCUUGGAGACAAGUUGGAGGUUAACGGAAUGACAGAUGGUGCAUGGUUGUCGUCAGCUCGUGUCGUGAGAUGUUCGGUUAAGUCCGGCAACGAGCGCAACCCUUAUCAUUAGUUACUAACAUUUAGUUGAGGACUCUAAUGAGACUGCCUGGGUAACCAGGAGGAAGGUGGGGACGACGUCAAAUCAUCAUGCCUCUUACGAGUGGGGCUACACACGUGCUACAAUGGCUGGUACAAAGAGAAGCAAUAUGGUAACAUGGAGCAAACCUGAAAAACCAGUCUCAGUUCGGAUUGGGGUCUGAAAUUCGACCCCAUGAAGUCGGAAUCGCUAGUAAUCGUAGGUCAGCAAUACUACGGUGAAUACGUUCUCGGGUCUUGUACACACCGCCCGUCACACCAUGGGAGCUGGGAAUGCCCAAAGUGGGAUAGUUAACCUUCGGGAUGCUACUUACUAAGGCAGGCUUGGUAACUGGGGUGAAGUCGUAACAAGGUAUCCCUACGAGAACGUGGGGAUGGAUCACCUCCUUU